UCAAGAAUUAGUCAGCAUGAGAUUAGAUGA
rnacentral:piRNA from 1 species